GGGCUGUCUUCCCGUUGCAAAAUCGGCAUGAGUUUUGUUGUUGAUGAUGUUGUCGUUUUAAAGAAAAAGAAAGCAAUUUGAUUUUUUGGCAGAUACUCACCAUUACUUUCUCAGUAAUCUGAUAAAAUUCCAUCCAUCUACCUUCCCAAAAGGGAAUCUUGAGGUAAACUUUCAACUUUUCUUUUUGAAACAGGCUUAAACAAAUGCAUUCAGUUUUGGGAAACAGAUCUUCCUCUGGGCAAGGCAGGCUGAGCUACAUUCCUACGUUUCUCAUGCUGCAGUGAGAAAAGUUCAUGAAUGUAAGGGAAUGCUUUUCCAAAGUUAUCUGUGAAGGGAAAGGAAUAAUUACUUCUGUGUGAUUCAAACCUGGGCACCAUCCAGGUUCCCAAUUAGCUGUGAGAACAGUGCCUGCUAUUGUGUCUCAAGUUUACCUUGAAUUUUCCAAAGAAACAUUCUUUCUGAUCACUGUGAAUAUCAGAAAAUAGGAGCCCUCACAUUCUUCUUUCUUGUAUUGAAGCAAAAGAGGCCCAGAGGACUGCCAGAGAGGUUCAGAGGAGAACAACUGCUAACUCAGGUGGCAGAGAGGAGAAGCAGCUGGACAUCGGAGACUAUGGCUGGACAUUGGAGAGAAGUGGUUUGACUUCAGAGGGACAGCUUGACAGUGAAGAAUUCGGCCAGAGAUAGCUGGACUUCAGGGGAAGAUGAUCUUUCCGCCUCAUCCCCCUUUCAGCUCCCCUUCCUGCUGAGAGACACUUUAAUCGGCAAUAAAAUCCCCCAUGUUUACCAUCCUUCAAUUCGUUUGUGUGACCUCAUUUCUCCUGGAUGCUGGACAA
rnacentral:lncRNA from 10 species